CGGUACAUGAGGAACAGUUCCUGUUUAGUCCACAUCCUCCGCUGCCUUGGACAAUUUCAUUGCAGAACAGUCUCACUGGUAUGAAAAUAAUGCAACUACCCACAGAAUUCAGUAUACCCUCAACACAAAUACAGCCCAACGUUUAAGGAAAACCAACAGAAUGACAGACAUGGAUUCAAUACACAGAAUUGACACACAAAAGAAAAAGAGUCAAUACAGGACACAGAAGAAAACUUAAAAAUCAGUACAAAUAUGUAGUAAAAUGGAGACAUUUUUAAUUGUAGAGUUCUCCUUACUGAGAGCGCUAUGUGCCUUAGAAGAAAUGUGUUCCUUCGGCGCUGGCUCACUCUUGUUCAAUCCUGGGCGUUUUGCUUUCCUCUGCCGUUCCCAAACCACUUAGUCCCCAGCAUGGAGGCACUUCUCACGUCAAACUGGCCCUGGUUUAUGUAGGGUAGACCUACCAGCAAUGUGUUUAAUGACAUACAGACCGUUCUCCACCGGGAGGAUCAGCAAGAGCUGCAUCAGGAGGAUCCAGGGAGGGGCUGUAUUAGGCACGUCACGUAUUUUCCAGCUUAAUCCUCACCAUCAGCCUACUGUGUAAGUGUUAUUACUUCCAGCUUUAUAUGACAGUUGAAGGCUGACAGAGGUUAACUUGUCUAAACUCGUAUCUAGUAAGCGGUCGAUCUGGGCUGGGAACCUGUUUUGUGUAACUCAAGAGUCCAUGUUGAGACAGAUUUUCAGAUCAGGAAUCCCCAAAGAAUUAAUUUCUUUUUAAUCAGGAAUAUGGAUCUUUAUGCCAUGAGAAAAAAUGCCCAGUUCAGUUUUCAGCAGCUCAGAGGCAGCGAUUUCCUGUGUUCACUGCUUGGAAAAGGGGUGUUAGGUACAUUGGCUGACCCCCAGUCUCGACCAGGUUGAGGAGCGCUGCCGUUUUUGAGUGGAGUCAGCUGUGAGCACCAGGAUCCUGAGACGGACGUCAGUGCUGAAGAGCAUCCCCUUCACGUGCGCUCUCUGCCACUGAGGUGGCACCUCCCUGCUUCCCGCUGUUUCCAAAACACUCACUGUUUCAGAAAAGACCCCGUCCCAGAAAUUAAAGGCACAGACCAAAGCAGCCUCAUCCACUGAGGACACCUGUCACUUCACCUCUUUGCCACCAGGACUCGUCCCCAUUUUCCGGAAACAGCCCUUGGACGGGAUCAUGGUUGGGGUUCUAAGUCACGCAGUCAUGCCCUCCCUCAGCGAAGAGGCCGACAUUGGAAAACCAAGCAGAGUCAGAUACCGUCUUUCUGGAGUCACAUCUUGAGCAGAGACAACAAGAUGAGAAGGAGUGGAAGCUUCUGUGGGGCCUUGGGGGGCUCAGAGAAGACCAGAGUCAUGGUUCCGGCUCCCUCGGUAUCCGGAGCUCCCCU
rnacentral:lncRNA from 1 species